CCUACGGGUGGCAGCAGUGGGGGAUAUUGCACAAUGGGGGGAACCCUGAUGCAGCGACGCCGCGUGGGUGAAUGAGCGUUUCGGCGCGUAAAGCCCUAUCGGCAGGGAAGAAGGUGACGGUACCUGAAGAAGAAGCCCCGGCUAACUACGUGCCAGCAUCCGCGGUAAUACGUAGGGGGCAAGCGUUAUCCGGGUUUACUGGGUGUAAAGGGGGCGCAGACGGCGAUGCAAGCCAGGAGUGAAAGCCCGGGGCCCAACCCCGGGACUGCUCUUGGAACUGCGUGGCUGGAGUGCAGGAGGGGCAGGCGGAAUUCCUGGUGUAGCGGUGAAAUGCGUAGAUAUCAGGAGGAACCCCGAUGGCGAAGGCGGCCUGCUGGACUGCAACUGACGUUGAGGCACGAAAGCGUGGGGAGCGAACAGGAUUAGAUACCCCGGUAGUC
rnacentral:rRNA from 1 species